UUUUAUUUAGUUUUUUUUAUACACUUAUUUCAUACAUGUAAAUAUGUACGACAUCAUCUCAUAAUUACAAACAAGACAUAAAAAUAGGACUUGGUGUCGGUAGGUGCUACUGUAAACAAUGUAAAUACCCUAGUACAAAUAUAGAUAUCUAGCUACACUAGUCAGACUUUGUUGGAAUUUUUUUUUUUUUUUUUUUUUCUUUUAGAGGUAAGUUUUAACUAUUAACUUGGUUUUCUUUUUCCCUUUAUAGAUGUGGGGCAUGAUAGAAAGGGUUACUAUGGCCAAAAACAGUGUUUUAUUAAAUAAGUAUUUUCCUUAUUAGGAGAAUGUUAUUUGGGGGGGUGGGGGGAAUGAUUGAUCUGCUUUAACAAAAAAAUUUUUAUC